CUAUACAUCUUUGAAAAUCUCAUUCAAAGUCAGAAGAUAAUCAAGUUUGACUCAACACACAAUGAAGAUUUUGUGCUUAGUUCUUGGACUGCUGCUGCUGACUAUGUACUCUGGAGCAACUGCUGGGAUUAGCUCAAUGAGAUCAAACAAAAACUGCUGCAAUGAUUUCAAAAUAAAACCUAUUAACAAGAAAAAUAUUGCCUCCAUCAAUAAAAUUCCUUUGUACUGUAAGCAAUAUGGAUUCAAAGUAAAAUAUCCAAACGGAAAAGGAAUUUGCUACCAUCAGGAUGACAAAUGGGCUCAGAGGAUAUACAAGCAAUUCAACCAUGCCAACUGAAGAUCCUUUUGAAGAAACAAUGGGAAAGAGCAAAAACAUAAAAGCAACAGCUAUCAAUAUUGUUGAGAUUUUUUGCAUUAUUGCAACAGCUGUCAUUACAACUAUUAACAUAAUUAUUUUCCAUGCAAUGCUAAAUCCAAGUCAAAAAUUGAUCUAAAAUUGCUUGGUUUUCGACCAAUUUUCAA